rnacentral:tRNA from 1 species
UGUAGCUCAGUGAUAGGGCAUGUGCUUGGUGUGCAUGAGGCCCUGGGUUCAAACCCCAGCA